CAAGUCAGCACAUAUGUGUGACAGAUGGGCGCCCUCUGCAGGCGUGAUACUCGCGCCCCAUGCUGUUCAAACGUAAUCAAACGUCCACCACGUGAGGUGGAUCAAACCAAAGAAGAAGAGAGAGAGCGGGUGCCGCUGGGCCUCAGAUUAAUUACAAGAACAUGGAAAAUACAAAAUCAAAGCCAUCAGGUGCACAAAGAAGAGGAAAGAAGAGGAGAAACGGGCCAAAUGUAAAGGUCCUAGGUCAGAAUCUUGCUCAGUGAAGCAUCCAUGUGUGGGGGCAUUGUGGGUGAAGUGUCUUGGCGAAGGACACAACAGCAGUGCCUGGAAUGGAGGAAGCGGUAUUCGAACCGGCAACCCUUCGGUUACUGGACAUCUUCUCUACCCCCUGCUAAUUAGAAUAGAUUAUAUUCCUGAAUCAUUGCAAUUAAGGUAGAGGAAAUGAAUGACAGCACAUGACAAUGACGGCAGCUGAAUGAACUGAAUGCAUCUCUACCACCAAAAGCUUGUCUAAACUUCUUCCUGAAGUCCCCAGCAGCUCUUGUUCCUCAACUUCCACCAAGCGGUGUUCUGUCCUUCUUUUCCUCUUUUGCACACAAGAGUCAUCCUACACACUAUAGCUCUAUGCUGUGUGGCAGUGCUCUCCCCUGUCAACACUUAAUCACCAAUUUCUUUCAGGUUACAUCUUUGCACAAAAUGUAGUCUACCAGUGUGCUCCUGCCUCCAGUCUUAUGAGUGACUCUGUGUUCCUCUUCUAGAAAUAAGUGUUUACUACAGCCAUUUCUAUUUGUUUUGCAAAGUCUACCACCAUCUGGCCUUUCAUGUUCCUGUCCUUAACACCAAACCUGCUCAUCACCUCCUCAACUCCUCUAUUUCAUUCACCAAUAUUGCCGUUGAGGUUUUCACUGACUACUUCUCUCACCUCUGGGAAUACACUGCACCGAUACAUCCAACCAGCCCCACAAAUUCUUUUUCUUCUAACUUACAAUUUGUGGGAUGUAUGCACUAACAUUGUGUAUAUAUAAAAUAUAUGUAUAAAAUAUAUUCUAAAAUCUGAAUAAAACUGAUAUGCCGGAUAUUCAUUUAUCUAAUAGGUAUGCACAGAGCGUAAACAACUGUAAUAGUAAUGAUCAAGGUAGUAGUUUGAAAAUUGGAGCAUCUUCACAGCGACAUAAAGCUUCAUCGCUUUUAUAAGCUUUUUACUGAGGACCCCACCAGGGUAGAAUGGGAACUACAACAACACAUGCAAUCUGUUGGUAAAUUAGAUUUCUCAUGUUUUGACUUAUAUCAGUAUUUUUCCUUUUAAAGCAGGAAAUAUUCAAGUUUGUGUAAGUUGACCACCAAGUCAGUGUGACUCACAGAACCCCUUCCCUAAGCAUUCUAAAAGAAUACAACUUUUCGGAGUUUCCAACACUUUAAUACAGAAAUGUACAUAGAGCAAAACAUUAGUUUUAGUUCCUAAAAACAGCCUACUGAACAUUAAUAUUACAGUUAAAACAUCUAUACAUCAGCAAAUGUACAUAAAUAUAAAACACAUAUAUACACUCUUAAUAUAUUAUUAUAUAAAGAUUUGUGUUUGUUUUUUUGUCUUUUUAACUGGAAGCCUAAACAGCUUGAAGAGGGAGUGUUUCACAGACGAGUCAUCUUUGUAUGGUGGUUAGGUAGUUGUUUUUUUUACAAACAGUUGUUGGAGCUUGUUUAUUUAGCAUCAACAGUGAUAGUUGAAAUGGACAAGAAGUUACAUUUAAAUACACAAAAACGUGCUGUUGGCGGUACUAAGUGCUGUUGAUAUUACUGGGACCCUUUAGAGAUGCAUGGCAGAGUGACAUUUUCAUAUUUACAACAAAAAAAAACAUUGACAUUUCUUCUUGUGUGAAAUCUUUCAAAUGAUAACAAUAAACAUUGUCAAAUGUUCGCUUAUCACGCUUUCCUCAAGCUGAUUGUGCUUCCACCCGUCUUUGAAACUUUUUAUAUAACGUAUAUCUAUGGCCUCCUUUUUUUUUUUUUUUUACAAAAGCAGCACAAUGAUGAGUAGGACUGUGAGAACAGAAGACGGGCUGUCAAUUGCUACUGUCUGCGACGCCCCUCUGUUGUAAAGACGCGGUGUCCUCGGGGAGUUCUGCUUCAGUUUACUGGGCGGCAGCGCCUUUAGGUCCUCUAGGGCACCGUAGGCGGCCAUGGAGAACUCGGGGUCUCCUGUGGUGAGCAAGUCAAACACACAAGAUUGGAAGUAAACGUCCUCCACCUGAAGAGUCUCUCGACAUUUAGCCGUGGCUCGCUCCACUGUGUAGACCUGGUGAGGCGGUCGCAGUGGACCCGCUUGGUGUUGCUGCUGCUGCUGGCUCUGG